CUCGGCGGUGUCCGCACUGGUGUGUGUUGUCGACGUGCAGCCUGUGCUCGUCGCGUUCUCAGGAACAUCAGUGGAGAGCAACUUCAGAUGCGAGGCGGUCCAAAGGAAACCUUGGUACGUGAGAACCUAGGCAGGCACCUGUCGUCUGUCCACUGCCACGAGUGUGAGCAGCCUGACCAUCUUCAAAAGCAGUGACUGGCAGAACCUACAAACAAGCAAAGGUGGAACGCCGUGGCGACGAAUGGCCAAAGAAACCAGCAGAGACGCUGAACCCAAACAGCAAGUGACCUAUGGCCGUUACUGUCCCUGGGAGCAGUGAGGCAGUGACACUGAUCCCAUCGGUGUGCCAUUAUGCUUUUGGGUGGUGGGGCCAUUAUCUCUCUUACAGGAGACUUUGCUUUAAACCCCCAAAAGCGAAAGAGGCGGUGCUCCAGUUUGACGUCCCAGCGAACUUCCGAUUCACAGAAAGAACGCCAA